rnacentral:rRNA from 1 species
CGGAACCGGGAGAAUACGGGCAAUACUCCAGUUAGCCCUUUCGGUCUAAAUGAUGAGUACAAUCAUUCUACCGAGAUCAUGAGGCAGGUCGUGCAGCAGGCGCGUAUCAGCUCAUAGCGUAUAUUAAAGUGGUGCCGUAAAAGCUCGUAGUCGACUCGCUCUGCCGCCCGGUCGCUAAUGGGUGUGUACUGAGCGUGGAGGCUUACCUCGUGUGAACGGCCAUGCCCUUUACUGGGUGUGGUCGGGAACCAUGACUUUUACUGUGAAAAAAUUAGAGUGUUCAAAGCAGGCUUACGCCCGAAUACAUUAGCAUGGAAUAAUAAAAUAGGACGUGCGGUCCUAUUUUGUUGGUUUCUAGGAUCGCCGUAAUGAUUAAUAGGGAUAGUUGGGGGCAUUCGUAUUCAAUUGUCAGAGGUGAAAUUCUUGGAUUUAUUGAAGACGAACUACUGCGAAAGCAUUUGCCAAGGAUGUUUUCAUUGAUCAAGAACGAAGGUUAGGGGAUCGAAAACGAUCAGAUACCGUUGUAGUCUUAACAGUAAACGAUGCCGACUAGGGAUCGGAUGAGGUUUUUAAUGACUCAUUCGGCACCUGAAGAGAAAUCUUUAAGUCAGGUUCGGGGGGGAGUAUGGUCGCAAGGCUGAAACUUAAAGGAAUUGACGGAAGGGCACCACCAGGUGUGGAGCCUGCGGCUUAAUUUGACUCAACACGGGGAAACUCACCAGGUCCAGACACGACAAGGAUUGACAGAUUGAUAGCUCUUUCUUGAUUUCGUGGUUGGUGGUGCAUGGCCGUUCUUAGUUGGUGGAGUGAUUUGUCUGGUUAAUUCCGAUAACGAACGAGACCUUAACCUGCUAAAUAGCCCGGCCGACUUUGGUUGGUCGCUGGCUUCUUAGAGGGACUAUCGACGUCUAGUCGAUGGAAGUUUGAGGCAAUAACAGGUCUGUGAUGCCCUUAGAUGUUCUGGGCCGCACGCGCGCUACACUGACCGAACCAGCGAGUUUAUUUCCUUGGCCGGAAGGCCUGGGUAAUCUUGUGAAAUUCGGUCGUGAUGGGGAUAGAGCAUUGCAAUUAUUGCUCUUCAACGAGGAAUACCUAGUAAGCGUGAGUCAUCAGCUCGCGUUGAAUUCGUCCCUGCCCUUUGUACACACCGCCCGUCGCUACUACCGAUUGAAUGGCUUAGUGAGGCCUUCGGAUUGGCUUCUGGGAGCCGGCAACGCACCAGAACAA